rnacentral:tRNA from 1 species
GGGGUCGUAAUUCAGUUGGUUAGAAUGCCGGCCUGUCACGCCGGAGGUCGCGGGUUCGAGUCCCGUCGGCCCCGCCA